rnacentral:snoRNA from 1 species
UUGUUAAUAUCCUCUGUCUGAUUCUGUAAUAAUCAGGACAGGCUAAACAUUCACUAUAGUAAGAUCAUGUGUGUGUCCCCAGACCUAAUUCUUUCUCUAUGUCUGAUUUUAUAAAUGUUCAUAAUAAGC